rnacentral:rRNA from 1 species
UACAGAGGUCUCAAGCGUUGUUCGGAUUCAUUGGGCGUAAAGGGUGCGUAGGCGGCGCGGUAAGUCGGGUGUGAAAUCUCGGAGCUUAACUCCGAAACUGCAUUCGAUACUGCCGUGCUUGAGGACUGGAGAGGAGACUGGAAUUCACGGUGUAGCAGUGAAAUGCGUAGAGAUCGUGAGGAAGACCAGUGGCGAAGGCGGGUCUCGUGGACAGUUCCUGACACUGAGGCACGAAGGCCAGGGGAGCAAACGGG